rnacentral:rRNA from 1 species
GUCUAGAAGCUUCGACAAUGGACGAAAGUCUGAUCGAGCGACGCCGCGUGCAGGACGAAGGUCUUCGGAUCGUAAACUGCUUUCGACAGGGAAGAACGGUAUGCAGGCUAAUACCCUGUCUAUUUGACGGUACCUGGAGAAGAAGCCCCGGCUAACUCCGUGCCAGCAGCCGCGGUAAUACGGAGGGGGCAAGCGUUGUUCGGAUUUAUUGGGCGUAAAGCGAGCGCAGGCGGUUUGUUAAGUCGGAUGUUAAAGACCCACGGCUCAACCGGGGGAAUGCGUUCGAUACUGAUAGACUAGAGUACGGAAGAGGACAGUGGAAUUCCUGGUGUAGCGGUGAAAUGCGUAGAUAUCAGGAGGAACACCUGUGGCGAAGGCGGCUGUCUGGUCCGUUACUGACGCUGAGGCUCGAAAGCGUGGGGAGCGAACGGG